AUGACCAACUAUCGUCCGGCCUCGAUGCAAGUGGACACAAAGCCCAAGCUAUCUGCUUCUGAUGGAGAUCCAGCUGAUGACGCCACCUUUUACCACAGCAUCACUGGUGCCCUACAGUACCUUACGCUGACGCGUCUGGAUCACACCUAUGUUGUCCAGCAGGUGUGUUUGCACAUGCACACUCCCCGGCGGCCUCACUGGUCCAUGGUGAAGAGGAUACUUCGUUACGUACACGGGACCAUCAGUCACGGCAUCACCAUCAGUUCCUCACCACCUCACGAGCUUGUUGCAUACAAUGACGCCGAUUGGGCGGGGUGCCCCGACACUCGUCGCUCCACAUCCGGCUACUACUUGUUCCUUGGCGGCUCACUCAUAUCCUGGUCGUCCAAGAGGCAACCUACCGUCUCUCGGUCCAGUGCGGAGGCGGAGUACCGUGCCGUGGCCAAUGCCGUCGCCGAGUGUUGCUGGACACGGCAACUCCUACAGGAACUUCACUCC
rnacentral:rRNA from 1 species